UGGGACACCUAUGUAUUUAGUCAUAUUUUGGAUAUAUAUAUAUAUAUAUUUAUAUACUUUGAAUUUUAAUGAAUGUUUAUGAUUGGGAUCAAUUGAAUUGUCUUAAUUAUAAGAUAUGAAAAAUAACUCAUAUUUGUGCUAUGAAAUAUUAUGAAUAGCAAUAUUUUCUAUAUGAGCAAAUUGAUAUAUCCUUUAUGAUUGCUAUAAUGAGGGGGAGUAGAGAAAUAAACAAUCAAAG
rnacentral:lncRNA from 1 species